rnacentral:sRNA from 1 species
UUAUGUGUGAGGAGUAUCUUGGAAACAAAAAGUACUGGCAGUGGAAACACGGUAACACUAGCCAGUACUUUUUGAU